AAGUCGUAACAAGGUCUCCGUAGGUGAACCUGCGGAGGGAUCAUUACUGAGUGAGGGCCAUCUGGCCCGACCUCCAACCCCAUGUCACCCGACUCUGUUGCCUCGGGGGCGACCCGGCCUUCGGGCGCUGGGCCCCCGGUGGACUACCUAACUCUGCAUCUUUGCGUCUGAGUACAUUUGAAAAUAAAUCAAA
rnacentral:misc_RNA from 1 species